GGAUGAUCUUUACUUCGAGCCCUACGAGCGCCACGUUUGCUUCUGCAACCUGUAAUUCGAGAUUUUUCCAAGUUAUUCAGAUUCCGCAUUUGAUUUCAUCUU
rnacentral:sRNA from 1 species